rnacentral:misc_RNA from 1 species
UCUCCGUAGGUGAACCUGCGGAGGGAUCAUUCACAUGCUCCAACCUCUCUCAACAAACUGUGAACUGUUUUGCCGUACAUGGCAGAAGAGUAGAGUGUGUUAGUGUAUGAGACCUGAAUGGAGUUAGCUUUAUGUUAACUGGGCUCUACUGCUAUCCGAGACUUGUCUCCUCUCUCUUUUACCAUGUCGGCCCUAUCUCUAGUUUAGCCUUUACAGUUGAUACCCAUCUCAAUCACUGUCUAUGGUCUAUUCUAGGGAGCCCCCACACACCACCUCUGUACAUUCUUUUGAGUAUAACACAUACUUCGGUGUGUGAAGUACUUGGCGAAUGUCGAACAUUCGAUUACCAAUGAUAGCAUGUUCUUUCUGCAAAGAGAGUGAAUGCUUGACUCUGUCUAUCAUUUUCAUGAUUUACAGCAAGUCAUUCUUAACAUAGAGAACAACUCUAUGCCCUGGAUAUCUUGGUUCUC